UGCACAACUCGCGGGUUCUCGUUAGUCUAAACGCGUUAUGGAGUAGAAGCGACUGUGCGUCGCACGAACCGGCUUCAUAUAAGUUAUACGCUUUACACGAAUUACUCCCGGGAAAAUAGGACGACUUGUAAUCGCUUUACGUCUUUCAAAUACGAAGUACAGUUGAAGUUAAUUGCAUAAGUGAGCAAGUUGUAUGAGCUAGGCUCAAGACGAAGUCGCUUAAAUGGAUAUGGAAGUGGCUGCAAACAUAGCACAAAUCCAAAUAUCAUAGCGAGAUAUAAUUAACAUGACUGCUAAGUUUUUAACUAUUUAGAUGAUUGAAACAGUAGGAAAUUUUUUGAACAAUUAAAACCAGCACUUAUUAUAAAAAUAAUAUGUGCAUCGUGCACUAUUUUGCAUGGAAUUAUUUCGAAGAGCAAAACGUUGAAUAAUUCAACGAGAUAAAAUCGUGUUUGUAGUAGUAAUGCAAUCAACUUGACUGCUUGAUUAAUUAUAGUUAAUUAAAGAAACAAUCGUGAGAUACGGUACAAAAAAUACGCCUUCGGAUCGAAGCUAAAAUAAUUAUCAACUCGAGGGCCGGAGCUUCAAUUAUCGUGCAACUUUUACGAGUAUAAUUACUCAGUCGGCGAAAUUCCCUUGGACUUUUCGCUAUAAUAAGCCCCUCGAUUUGCGCAGCAACGCUAAUGCGCUGUAACGAACAUUGUUAACCGAUAGCAACGCAAGUAAUGCUCCCCUUCCUCGCCGCUCUCGCAAAAGUAAAUGUAAUCAUCGUAGCUCCCGUCCGCGGUUACGUGACGUUGUAAUCGUCACGGUGGUAUUAAUAUUUCAUGCCCGGCGCACACGGACGUUAUGGCACAAUCGACUUUAACUGCCGUUCCGAGGCUCCCUAUCGCGACUCGUGCAUCUCAACGAUUACCUCGAUGUACGGCCGUACACGUGUGCGAUUAAGGUAUAUUCACACAUUAAAGUAUCAGCCUUUCAUACAAGAGAGUCUACAAUUUUUAAUUUUUGUCUUACUGUUUAUAUUGUACCGGGAAACUCUUUUCGAGGAAAAGGCAUUUUCAUUAAAUGAGAAGCGGAAAUAAAGCAAAAUCAAACUCCAUAAAAGAUAUCUUAGGGGUGUGUGUAGGAUUUAAUUACGUAAAAAUGUGGUGAAACAAUUAAACGCUUUGUUACUGUAGUGUGAAUUAGGAGCUAAAUAAUGAAAAUAAUUUAUAAUAACUGCGUAAUCGCAGUUAAUGAUAUGUGGAUGGUCCUUCAAGAGGAAAAGUAAGAGCCGUAUUUCCGACAUUAUGCGGAAGAGAUAUAAUCGCGCCCUAGCCGUGUGCGUGUCGUACUUAUAAAUGUAAAGGCUACUUUAAAAGAAGCUCUUUAAUGCAUUCCAGCGCGACUCUGAUUUAAAAUUUCGCCAGAUUAACAAUCUACGAAAUAAUAAUCUAAUUACAUUAAACUUGGCAAAAAA